UGCAAUGCAGGCAAAUACCCUUGAAUCUCCACCCCGCGGCUACUGAUCGACAACGAUUUAUAUUUGGGGAAGAAAGUCAGGAAGAACAGGUGCUCGGCUCUGUUUUACUUGUCCACACUGACGGGUCAUAUCCCUCAAAGGCUCAAAUCAAAAUGUACUAACAAAGAAUUGUGCAGAUGGUUGGUUGUCAUGGCCUCAUAACUUCAUGCAAGAGCACAUUCUGAGACUUCCUCAUAUCCAGCCUCACAAACUAAAAGAUCCUAUCUAAAAUGAACUAAAAACAAGCCAUUCAAACUGCCAGGUUGAACUCCUUGGGAGAAAAGUUAUUACCAUAUAGUCCAAAUACACAAAGGAGUUGUGUACAAAGUUUUCCUGUAUGUCACAUCCUGUGUUUCGGCAGGUUUUUGAAUGAAAUAAGAUGAGUCAUAUAUCAGUUCAUUCAUUGCAUAAGAAAAAGAUAUAUUUCUUUGGGUCAUAAAUUUAAAUGAUAUUGAUGCUUUCAAUUCUUUGAAAAU